UACGUAGGUGACAAGCGUUAUCCGGAAUUACUGGGCGUAAAGCGCACGCAGGCGGUGGGGUAAGUCUGAUGUGAAAUCUCCUGGCUUAACUGGGAGGGGUCAUUGGAAACUGCCGUACUUGAGGCGAUGAGAGGGGUGUAGAAUUCCCGGUGUAGUGGUGGAAUGCGUAGAUAUCGGGAGGAAUACCAGUGGCGAAAGCGACACCCUGGCAUUAGCCUGACGCUCAUGUGCGAAGGCGUGGGGAGCGAACGGG
rnacentral:rRNA from 1 species